rnacentral:rRNA from 1 species
GGAUCCAGACUUUGAUCCUGGCUCAGGAUGAACGCUAGCUACAGGCUUAACACAUGCAAGUCGAGGGGCAGCAUGAACUUAGCUUGCUAAGUUUGAUGGCGACCGGCGCACGGGUGAGUAACACGUAACCAACCUUCCGUUUACUAAGGGAUAGCCUUUCGAAAGAAAGAUUAAUACCUGAUAGUAUGGUGAGAUUGCAUGAUAGCACCAUUAAAGAUUUAUUGGUAAACGAUGGGGAUGCGUUCCAUUAGGUAGUAGGCGGGGUAACGGCCCACCUAGCCGACGAUGGAUAGGGGUUCUGAGAGGAAGGUCCCCCACAUUGGAACUGAGACACGGUCCAAACUCCUACGGGAGGCAGCAGUGAGGAAUAUUGGUCAAUGGGCGAGAGCCUGAACCAGCCAAGUAGCGUGAAGGAUGAAGGUCCUACGGAUUGUAAACUUCUUUUAUACGGGAAUAAAGUAUCCUACGUGUAGGAUUUUGUAUGUACCGUAUGAAUAAGCAUCGGCUAACUCCGUGCCAGCAGCCGCGGUAAUACGGAGGAUGCGAGCGUUAUCCGGAUUUAUUGGGUUUAAAGGGAGCGCAGACGGGAGAUUAAGUCAGUUGUGAAAGUUUGCGGCUCAACCGUAAAAUUGCAGUUGAUACUGGUUUCCUUGAGUGCAGUUGAGGCAGGCGGAAUUCGUGGUGUAGCGGUGAAAUGCUUAGAUAUCACGAAGAACCCCGAUUGCGAAGGCAGCUUGCUAAACUGUAACUGACGUUCAUGCUCGAAAGUGUGGGUAUCAAACAGGAUUAGAUACCCUGGUAGUCCACACGGUAAACGAUGGAUACUCGCUGUUGGCGAUAUACUGUCAGCGGCCAAGCGAAAGCAUUAAGUAUCCCACCUGGGGAGUACGCCGGCAACGGUGCAACUCAAAUGAAUUGACGG